rnacentral:rRNA from 1 species
AUGGCGGCCGUGCGCCUAUCCCCACGCCUCCGCUCGAUUCCCCUCCUGCUCCCCGGUCUCGACCCCGCAGCCGCAGUCCACCGCCGCUGCUCCUGCGGUAGCUCGGCCGCCGCCGCCGCCGCGCGCGCCAUGUCCUCCUCCUCCUCCUCCUCCGCGUCGUCGGCACCCACCCCCUACACGACGCUCGUGGGCCGCGUCCGCUGCGAGCGCGAGAUCAAGCGCAGCAAGUUCAUCGCAGUCGCCGCCUCCGUCCCCGACGAGCGCGCCGCCAUGUCCUUCCUCAACGAGGUCAAGGAUCCUCGUGCCACCCAUAAUUGCUGGGCGUACAAGGUGGGAGAACAGUUCCGUUAUAACGAUGACGGCGAACCUUCAAGCACAGCUGGAAAGCCAAUAUACUCUGCCAUCAUUUCAUCUGGCAUAGAUAUGGUCAUGGUGGUUGUAAUAAGAUAUUUUGGAGGCAUAAAACUGGGAACCGGCGGGCUGGUGAGAGCUUAUGGUGGGGUUGCUGCUGAGUGCCUUAAAGAUGCUCCUACUUGUCUUGUGAAGCCCAAGGCUCGUGUGGGCAUGGAAGUACCAUUUGAUCUCUUGGGCAUGGUCUAUAAUCAGCUGCAGCAUUUCCAUGCCGAAGAUAUUAAACAGGACUAUGACACUGGCAAAGAUGGUACAGUUGUUGUCAUGUUCAAAGUAGAAUAUGAAAAAAUUGAGAGUCUUGGAAGCGCAGUGAAUUCAGCUUGCAGCAGGAAAAUUGAAUUAUUACAAUAA